rnacentral:rRNA from 1 species
UGGGGAAUUUUGGACAAUGGGCGCAAGCCUGAUCCAGCAAUGCCGCGUGCAGGAUGAAGGCCUUCGGGUUGUAAACUGCUUUUGUACGGAGCGAAAAGGUCUGCCCUAAUACGGUGGGCUCAUGACGGUACCGUAAGAAUAAGCACCGGCUAACUACGUGCCAGCAGCCGAGGUAAUACGUAGGGUGCGAGCGUUAAUCGGAAUUACUUGGCGUAAAGCGUGCGUAGGCGGUUAUAUAAGACAGAUGUGAAAUCCCCAGGCUCAACCUGGGACGUGCAUUUGUGACUGUAUAGCGAGAGUACGAUAGAGGGGGACGGAAUUACGCGUGUAGCAGAGAAAUGCGUAGAUAUGCGGAAGAACACCGAUGGCGAAGGAGAUCCCCUGGACCUGUACUGACGCUCAUGCACGAAAGCGUGGGGAGCAAACA